rnacentral:misc_RNA from 1 species
AACGCAACUUGCACUCUUGGCGUAAGUCAAGAGUAUACCUGUUUGAGAAUUGUAUCCCCUUCACACCAUAUGGUGCGGACUUGAUCAUCCUAAUCAGAUGAUUUAAAUGAAGGAGAGGAGCGUCAAGCUUCAACGCACCCCUAGUGUGAUAGAGACCUCUGGGUCUACUCACUAUAGGUGUUAGUUGUUUGACACUAAGCCCCUCUAUAAACUUCUUCUCUUCAAUCUCAAAUCAGGUAAGGCUACCCGCUGAACUUAA